UACGUAGGGUGCGAGCGUUGUCCGGAAUUAUUGGGCGUAAAGGGCUCGUAGGCGGUUUGUCGCGUCGGGAGUGAAAACACCGGGCUUAACUCGGUGCUUGCUUUCGAUACGGGCAGACUAGAGGCAUGCAGGGGAGAACGGAAUUCCUGGUGUAGCGGUGAAAUGCGCAGAUAUCAGAAGGAACACCGGUGGCGAAGGCGGGUCUCUGGGCAACAACUGACGCUGAGGAGCGAAAGCGUGGGGAGCGAACAGG
rnacentral:rRNA from 1 species